rnacentral:lncRNA from 10 species
CCGGCCCGCGGGCCUCCGGAUCAGUGACGUGCGCACGCGCAUGAGCCACCGCCGCGUCAGGCUCGGCUAUGGGUGGGGGGAGCGUGAUCGCGGACCCGGGGUGUGGGGCGACUGGAAAAACGGGCCUCUGGACCAGCACACGCCCUGUGCGGAGAGACACUGUCUGGCAUCUCGGGAUCAUGUGAGGGGCUCCCACUGCCCAGUCACACGUCUAAAGCAUCCUAGUUCUUACCUAUUGUAGCACGGCCGGAAAGUGAGCCGCCUUAGCUGCUGAUUGUACUAGAGCAGGCAAUACAAGAGUCGGCCCAUCCUCAAAACCACUGAUAGGAUGUGAGUUUCACUAACCCCGUUUUACAGAUGAGGAAAUUGAGGCAAGGCCAGGGCUCACACCUGUAAUCCCAGCACUUUGGGAGUCCAAGGUUGGAGGGUUGCUUGAGACCAGGAGUUCAUGACCAGCCUGGGCGACAUAGUGAGACCCCCAUCUUCCCAAAUAAAAAUAAAUAAAUCAGCCGGACAUGGUGGCAUGUGCCUGUAGUCCCUGCUGCUCAGAAGGCUAAGGUGGAAGGAUAGCUUGAGCCCAGGAGUUCGAGGCUGCAGUGAGCUAUGAUCAUACCACUGUACUCCAGCCUAGGUGACAGAGGGAGACCCUGUCUCAAAAAGAAAAGAGACUUACACGAGGUCACAUAGCUAAUAAGUGGCAGAUAGGGAAGAGAACCCUUGUCCCUCUACUUUAAGGCCCUAUUCGCUUGCCCCAUUAUCCCAUGCUGCCUCUCUAAGAGCCAGAGAAGUAGGAGGUAGAAAAAGAGCAUCUCUGCAGCUCUGGGACUGAUGAUGUGAAUGAACUGGGUAGAUGGUAAGUGUGUAACUGGGUGAUCUUGGACAUGGGAUGGGGUGGGUGAGGAGGCUUACCAAUGCUGAGAGGAGUGGAAGCUCCAACCCCAGCUAAUGCUAGACACCAGACUCCAAAUUUAAACACACAGUGGAAACUGGCAAGAAUGAAAUACUGACUUCAAUACAGAUUUCAAGAGACAUGACAUUAGCACUGGUGGAGAAUGGCAAGCCUAAGGUUGGAAAAGGUUCAGGGAAGGAAGAUGAAGGUCUGCCAUGUUCUACUGAGGAGGAGUUUUUCAAACAGUGGGGUGCUGUCUGCAAUGUGUACAGCCUUAAAAUUAUUAUAUAAGUAAUCAAUACUCAUUGUUGAAAAAUAAUAUAUGGAUAAACAGGAAAAAUAAACAAAAAUCAUAAUCCAUCUAGCCUCUCAGCAAAACUUCCUUUUUUUUUUUUUUAAAGCAGGGACUCGAUAUGUUGCCCAGGCUGGUCUUGAACUCCUGGGCUCAAGCAGUCCUCCCACUUCAGCGUCCCAAAUAGCUGGGAUUACAGAUGUGCUCAGCAAAACUUCUUGAGAACUAUGUACCCUUCUAAAUGCACGUCCUCAACCCUCCUUCCCUAUACUCCACACAGAAUUGAGCUCAAACUGCUUUUGUCAUAGUCAUCAUAAUGACCUACAUGUUGCCAAAUCUUGCAUUCUCUUCUCUUCCCUGCCCUUGUCUUACUCCUUCUCUCAGGGAUGUUGAGGACAGUUAAUCACAUCCUCCAUCUGGACACACCUUCCUCUCUCAGUAAGAGCACCAGUGCUCCACUCUGAGGGUUUCUGGCUAACCUCACUCCCCAGGCUCCUGAGUCCCUGUUUGCUCUAUUGGUAAAUGCUGGGGUAUUCGGGGCUGCCCUCCACCCUCUUCUCUGAACUAGUUACAGUUUCAAACUCCCUGAGGAGAAACUAACUUCCUAGCCCCAUGACUGUUAUAUCAUAUGCAUGCUGAUGACUCACCAUAGUAAAUCUACAGCGAGGUCCUCUCCUGGAGUUGCAGGCUUAUUUCUCCAGCUUGCCAUUUGUCAUCUCCACUGAAGUGAC